rnacentral:rRNA from 1 species
AUUAGACGCUGGCGGCAUGCCUUACACAUGCAAGUCGAACGGUAGCGCGGGGCAACCUGGCGACGAGUGGCGAACGGGUGAGUAAAGCAUCGGAACGUGCCCUGGAAUGGGGGAUAACGUAGCGAAAGUUACGCUAAUACCGCAUAUUCUGUGAGCAGGAAAGCAGGGGAUCGCAAGACCUUGCGUUCUGGGAGCGGCCGAUGUCGGAUUAGCUAGUUGGUGGGGUAAAGGCUUACCAAGGCGACGAUCUGUAGCGGGUCUGAGAGGAUGAUCCGCCACACUGGAACUGAGACACGGUCCAGACUCCUACGGGAGGCAGCAGUGGGGAAUUUUGGACAAUGGGGGGCAACCCUGAUCCAGCCAUGCCGCGUGAGUGAAGAAGGCCU